GUAAGCUUGGUGCUACCUCUUUUCUUUUGUUUGUUAUUUUCUUUGAAUAAGAAGAUUGAGAGUUUUUGAAUAUUGUGAAGUGAAUUAUAGAAUGGAAAUGUGAUUGGUAUUAUUUGAGAAGAAGAAAGAUUGAAUGUUGAAAUCUGAUUGUAGUUCAGCAGAGAGAAUGAGUCUGUGUUUGUGUGAAACACUGUAAUGUGAAUGGUAGUUCUGUGUGAAGAAUUCCAGUGAUUGGAAU
rnacentral:lncRNA from 1 species